rnacentral:rRNA from 1 species
GUCUGCAACUCGACUGCAUGAAGCUGGAAUCGCUAGUAAUCGCGAAUCNGAAUGUCGCGGUGAAUACGUUCCCGGGCCUUGUACACACCGCCCGUCACACCAUGGGAGUUGGAAGCACCCGAAGUCGGUGACCUGACCGAAAGGGAGGAGCCGCCGAAGGUGAAGCCAGCGACUGGGGUGAAGUCGUAACAAGGUAUC